rnacentral:lncRNA from 1 species
CCAGCUCUCAUCCCCAGUGUGGUUGUGAUGCUACAGACAGAAGAGGAUAAGAAGCCACAGAAAACAGGCUGGAGGAGAAGUGCGGAUUCAGCACAUAAGUUGUCACUUCGCCAGAAUCGAUGAGAAUCAGGAGUCCCUGAAUCGCCUGGGGAUGCUGGUGAAAGCGACACCAUGCGGGAACAGUCCAGAACACAUGCUCCUGUGGGAGGGAAGACUUUGCUACUCACGGUGUGGUUCCCAAACAGCAGCACUGAAGGCAAACCUCAGACCCCUGAAUCAGAAUCUUCACUGUCAUAAAAUCCUCAGAUGGUUCCUAUGCACAAAGAAGUUUGAGAACAUCAGUCUAAGCAAGUGGUUUUCAAACUGUGGGCUGCUACCCGAGAAGUCAAUUUAGUGGUUGUGACCAGGACUUUUUUUUUUUUUUUUUUAAGAUGGGGUCUCACUCUGUUGCCCAGGAUGGAGUGUAGUGACACAGAUCAGAGCUCACUGCAGCCUUGAACUCCUGGGCUCAAGUGAUCCUUCUGCCUCAGCCUCCUGAGUGGCUAAGACCAUAGAUGUGCACCCAGGUAUUUUUUUUUUUCUUUUAGUUUUGUAGGGCUACGCAGGGUCUCACUUUGUUGCCCAAGCUGGUCUUGAACUGCUGGCUUCAAGCAAUCCUCCUGCCUCAGUCUCUUAAAGUGCUGGGAUUUUAGGUAUGAGCCACUGUGCCCAGCCAGAAUUUUUUUUAAAAAGCAAAUUGCACAGAGAAAAUGAGAGUGCACCCAAUGUAGUAAAGGUAAAUAUUGUAAAACAUGUCUCAAUUGCAUAUGGAUACAUUUGAAUGUUGUAUCACCGCGUAAAAUAUGUUUUCCCAGUGGGUCAUUGUCAAAAACAUUUGAAGCCUGCUGAUCUUAUGACAUGGCUGGUUAUUUACAUAUCAAGGCAGUCUAUGUUUUAUUCUUUAACAAAGUUCACCCAUCAGAUUAAUAUUUGCAGCUCAUUAAUUUAAUCUCUAUGCAAAGACACUUGAAUUAAAACAUGCCUUCUAAUGUUCCCUUACUUCUAGCAUGAAGCUUUAUAAGAAAUAUAUGUUGAUCUGUGACUAAUAAAGAUUUACCAUAUUCUUUCUAGAAAAGAACCUUUCCUGAACAAUAGCAUGUUUUUUAUUAGCUAAUGUUAUUUAACCUAUUUUUUUUUUUAGUUUUGACUCUGAUAUGGUUAAGCUUUGUGUCCUCAUCCAAAUCUCAUAUUGAAUUGUAAUCCCCAUAAUCCCCACGUGUCAAGGGAGAGACCAGGUGGAGAUAACUGAAUCAUGGGGGGAGGUUUCCCUCAUGCUGUUAUUGUGAUAGUGAGUUCUCAUGAGAUCUGAUGGUUUUAUAAAGGAGUCUUCUCACUUUGCUCAGCAUUUCUCCUUCCUGCCACCUUGUGAAGAAGAUGCCUUGCUUCCCUUUCG